GGCUCAGGAUGAACGCUAGCGACAGGCUUAACACAUGCAAGUCGAGGGGCAGCGCGGGUGUAGCAAUACAUCUGGCGGCGACCGGCGCACUGGUGAGUAACACGUAUGCGACCUGCCCCGGACAGGGGGAUAAACCCGGGAAACUGGGCCUAAUACCCCAUAUGCCAUGAUGCCGCAUAGCUUCAAGGUGAAAGAUCCGUCGGUCCGGGAUGGGCAUGCGGCGCAUUAGCUAGUUGGCGGGCAACGCCCACCAAGGCGACGAUGCGUAGGGGUUCUGAGAGGAAGGUCCCCCCACACUGGUACUGAGACACGGACCAGACUCCUACGGGAGGCAGCAGUGAGGAAUAUUGGACAAUGGCCGGAAGGCUGAUCCAGCCAUGCCGCGUGCGGGAAGACGGCCCUAUGGGUUGUAAACCGCUUUUGUUGGGGAGCAAUAAGGUCCACGUGUGGAUUGAUGAGAGUACCCAGCGAAUAAGCAUCGGCUAACUCCGUGCC
rnacentral:rRNA from 1 species